rnacentral:rRNA from 1 species
UGGGGAAUAUUGGGCAAUGGGCGAAAGCCUGACCCAGCGACGCCGUGUGGGCGAUGAAGGCCUUCGGGUUGUAAAGCCCUGUGAGGUGGAAAGAAGGGUCCAGAGGUUAAUACCCUUUGGACUUUGACGGUACCACCAGAGGAAGCACCGGCUAACUCCGUGCCAGCAGCCGCGGUAAUACGGAGGGUGCAAGCGUUGUCCGGAAUUAUUGGGCGUAAAGGGCGCGUAGGUGGUUGUGUAAGUCAGAUGUGAAAUCCUUAGGCUGAACCUGAGAACUGCAUCUUAUACGUCAUGACUCGAGUACAGCAGAGGGAAACGGAAUUCCUGGUGUAGGGGUGAAAUUCGUAGAUAUCAGGAGGGACACCGGUGGCGAAGGCGGUUUCCGGUGCUGAUGCUGACACUGAGCCGCGAAAGCGUGUGGAUCAAACAGGAUGAGAAGUCGUUGUAGUC